GAUGAACGCUAGCUACAGGCUUAACACAUGCAAGUCGAGGGGCAGCACAGUGUAGCAAUACACGGGUGGCGACCGGCGCACGGGUGCGUAACGCGUAUCCAACCUUCCCGAUACUCUUGGAUAGCCUUCCGAAAGGGAGAUUAAUACAAGAUGGUGUUUCAAUUCCGCAUGUUAUUGAACCUAAAGAUUUAUCGGUAUCGGAUGGGGAUGCGUGACAUUAGAUAGUAGGCGGGGUAACGGCCCACCUAGUCUACGAUGUCUAGGGGUUCUGAGAGGAAGGUCCCCCACACUGGAACUGAGACACGGUCCAGACUCCUACGGGAGGCAGCAGUGAGGAAUGUUGGUCAAUGGUCGGAAGACUGAACCAGCCAAGUAGCGUGAAGGAUGAAGGUUCUAUGGAUUGUAAACUUCUUUUAUACGGGAAUAAAACCUCCCACGUGUGGGAGCUUGUAUGUACCGUAUGAAUAAGCAUCGGCUAACUCCGUGCCAGCCGCCGCAGUAACAC
rnacentral:rRNA from 1 species